AACGAACGCUGGCGGCAUGCCUAACACAUGCAAGUCGAACGGGACCUUCGGGUCUAGUGGCGCACGGGUGCGUAACGCGUGGGAACCUGCCCUUAGGUUCGGAAUAACUCCCCGAAAGGGGUGCUAAUACCGGAUAAUGUCUUCGGACCAAAGAUUUAUCGCCUUUGGAUGGGCCCGCGUUGGAUUAGCUAGUUGGUAGGGUAAAAGCCUACCAAGGCGACGAUCCAUAGCUGGUCUGAGAGGAUGAUCAGCCACACUGGGACUGAGACACGGCCCAGACUCCUACGGGAGGCAGCAGUGGGGAAUAUUGGACAAUGGGCGAAAGACUGAUCCAGCAAUGCCGCGUGAGUGAUGAAGGCCUUAGGGUUGUAAAGCUCUUUUACCCGGGAUGAUAAUGACAGUACCGGGAGAAUAAGCUCCGGCUAACUCCGUG
rnacentral:rRNA from 1 species